rnacentral:lncRNA from 1 species
AAAUAUUAUUGCAAAGAAACAGGUUAUAGUUAUGAUCCUUACACUAAUAUUACACAAAUAGAAAAUUUAAAAAAAUGCUUUACGUUUUUUCUUAUCGAUUUAUAUAAUUUUACAAAAAAAAAAAAUUUCGAAUUUGUAGAAAUUUUUUUGACCUUUAUCUUAAAACAAUAUUCUUUCUUAUUUGAGCAAUAUGACAAGGAAGUGGUGUAUUUAUUAAAAAAUGAAAGUAUAAAAAUAUGUAUUACUGAGUCAAAAAAAUGCAUCCUUUUUUUUUACAACACAAGAUGAGGAUGAUAAUGUGUAUGACAGUAUGAAUGAUAUUGUUUCUAAUGAGAACAGCUGCAAUAAUGAACGUUUAUUAAAAUAUAAACAACAAGACGGCACAAGUACAUGUGGUCAAGUUUAUUUGAUACAAAGCGAUCUAAAAUAUAGUUAUAAGAAAGGUAAUUUACUAAAUAGACAACAUUUAGGUGUAUCAGAAGAUUGUAUACAAGCGGCAUCUGAUAUAAUGGACGAUACGUGUAAUUUGUCCAACGAUUUAUGCGAUUUGAGUAACGACACGUGCACAAAUGCAACCAUCACUACAUGUCACAAUACAAUGAACAAUUUUUACAAAACGACUAAUUUUUUUUUAAAAAAAAUUUUAAGUAUAUGGCUAAAAAAAAAUAAUGAGAAAAAAAGUAUACUCACCGAAACAAUUCGAAACGAAUUAUUUAAAUAUGCGCAAAGAAUAAUAGACGCCGAACUAAAUUAUAUUACUUUUUUUUAUAUAUGGAAUUUAUAUGAUCAUAUAUUUUUUAUAUUACAUUUUGACAAUAUUCAGACUGAAGAGGUAUGUACUAUGUACAUAACACUAGUUAAAAUUUUUAUAAAUUUUUUAAAAAAAGAACAAAAAAAAUGUGCGAGCAAUGAAGAUUUGUUCCUUCAAUAUUUAUUAUAUUUAUUUAUUGUCAAUAUAGAUAAAUUUUUGAAUGAAAAAAGCUCAAACUGUUCUGAUCAAUACGUCCAUACAUUUCUCACGCAUGUGUAUAUAGAAAUAAUAACAAAUUUUCAAAACAUAGAUGAACCUCUUUUUUUCAAUACAUAUUUUAUUAUCUUAAAGGAUAAAAUUAGUGUUAUAUAUCAGAAAAAUGGGUCAGACGGGGAUGAGCCAGACACAUAUUUAAAAAAUGAUGACAAGAAAAAUACAAACCAAAUAAAACCUCUUUUUAUCAACAAUAAUACACUAAAGUUCGAUAAACUAUUCAUUGCCAAAAUGUUUAUACUGCACGAUAUUAUGAGUAUGAUGAAUAAAAAAAAAAAAGAAGAAACAGUCCGUAAUAGUAACUGCAGUAGUCAUGGCAAGAACAUGGAACAAUAUUGUACACUACAAAAUGG